rnacentral:rRNA from 1 species
UACGUAGGGUGCGAGCGUUGUCCGGAAUUAUUGGGCGUAAAGGGCUCGUAGGCGGUUUGUCGCGUCGGGAGUGAAAACGCCGUGCUUAACACGGCGCUUGCUUUCGAUACGGGCAGACUAGAGGUAUUCAGGGGAGAACGGAAUUCCUGGUGUAGCGGUGAAAUGCGUAGAUAUCAAGAGGAACACCUGAGGUGAAGACGGGUUGCUGGGCUGACACUGACGCUGAGGCGCGAAAGCCAGGGGAGCAAACGGG